UGCAACCUGAGCUCAGGCGUGACUACCCGCUGAACUUAAGCAUAUCAUUUAGCGGAGGAAAAAAAACUAAA
rnacentral:rRNA from 1 species